rnacentral:rRNA from 1 species
AUUGAACGCUGGCGGCAGGCUUAACACAUGCAAGUCGAACGAGUGGCGGACGGGUGAGUAAUGCUUGGGAAUCUAGCUUAUGGAGGGGGAUAACUGCGGGAAACUGGAGCUAAUACCGCGUACUAUAGAAUGAGCCCAAGUUGAAUUAGCUAGUUGGUGAGGUAAAGGCCCACCAAGCAGACGAUACCUAGCUGGUCUGAGAGGAGGACCAGCCACACUGGGACGACGAAACGGCCCAGACUCCUACGGGAGGCAGCAGUGGGGAAUAUUGAGCAAUGGGGGCAACCUGACGCAGCCAUGCCGCGUGAAUGAAGAAGGCCUUCGGGUUGUAAAGGACUUUCGGCAGCGAAGCGUUACCUACAGAAGAAGCACCGGCUAACUCCGUGCCAGCAGCCGCGGUAAUAC